UCAAACUUGGUCAUUUAGAGGAAGUAAAAGUCGUAACAAGGUUUCCGUAGGUGAACCUGCGGAAGGAUCAUUAUCGAGUUUUGAAUGGGGUUGUCGCUGCCCUUACGGGGGAUUGUGCACGCCUCGCUCAUCCACUCUACACCUGUGCACUUACUGUAGGCUUCGAAUUGUAACGUUGAGGGCUUUAAACGGCCUUUGGCGGAGCGUUCGGGCUUAUGUUUAUUACAAACCACAAAGUAUUAGAAUGUCUAUUGCGAAUAUAACGCAUCUAUAUACAACUUUCAGCAACGGAUCUCUUGGCUCUCGCAUCGAUGAAGAACGCAGC
rnacentral:misc_RNA from 1 species